UGGCGUAAUGGUAGCGCGUCUAACUCCAGAUCAGAAGGUUGCGUGUUUGAUUCACGU
rnacentral:tRNA from 1 species